rnacentral:misc_RNA from 1 species
CAGAGUUGCAAAACUCCCAAACCCAUUGCGAAUCUUACCUGUUGUUUAGUUGCUUCGGCAGGCGGCCCCAGGGCGGGGCCAUAGCCUUUGCUGGCGCCUGCCGGAGGACCAAAAACUCUUGUAUUUGUUAUUACCCUCUGAGUCUUCUGAAAGACAAAAUAAGUCA